rnacentral:lncRNA from 1 species
CAAAUGAACUCAAAUUUUUAACACGCUACUCAACAUGGAUUGUUGGGUGGUAUCAGGUAUCUGGUUUAUUAGGGAAGGAAAACUGGCGGGAUUUAGGUCAGAACCUGCAGCUACUACAACUACUGGAUACCACCCAACAUAAAAAUACAUUGGUUUUGUCAAUUCUCACUUUAGACAAAAAGGUUUUAAAACAGUUCAGAUUUCGCAACGAUAACCUAAUUAUCAAUGACCUCAAUUAGGGUUGUCUCAUAAUCACUAGGAGCCACGAACCCAUGUAGA